rnacentral:rRNA from 1 species
UACGAGGGGGGCAAGCGUUGUUCGGAAUUAUUGGGCGUAAAGGGCGCGUAGGCGGUCGUGACAAGUCACUUGUGAAAUCUCCGGGCUUAACUCGGAACGGUCAAGUGAUACUGUCGGACUAGAGUACAGAAGGGGCAACUGGAAUUCUCGGUGUAGCGGUGAAAUGCGUAGAUAUCGAGAGGAACACCUGCGGCGAAGGCGGGUUGCUGGGCUGAUACUGACGCUGAGGCGCGAAAGCCAGGGGAGCGAACGGG